CUGGACGACAACGCAUUUCGUUUUUCAAUCUCCCGUGCAACACGGGCCGUGUGCUUACCUUCUUGUCGAUCACAUCGACGUCGCAACGCCACGCCACGCCACCGCCGGCCAACCCCGUCUCCUCUUUCUAGAAUAAGAACGAAGCGAAGGCCAAAGCAUAUGGGAACAGCUUCGGUUGCUUCCAAUCUCAUCUGUUUGCCGUAGAGAGAACUUUGCUGGGCUGGAAAUUCUCAGCAAUUUCGCACUUUUUUUUUUGGAGAAGGCGCGUUGUUGUAGUAGGUGGUAUGGCAAGCGGCGGGAGGGUCAUCUACAAGCGCGCCGCGCCGGGCGGGAGGCACCUCCACCGAUCCAAGAUCUCCGAUGAUGAGGACGAUGAGGAGUAUGUCUUGGAGGAGGAAGAUGAUGAGGAGGAGAGCUCUGAUGAAGCCCUCGACGCGUCCGAUGCUUCUAAGGAAGAGUUCGAGUUUGGGGGGUCCGCCAGCGGUUCCGAUGAUGUUAAUCGGCCGGCGGCUAAGCUCGAUGAGGACGAUGAGAUCUCGUUGGGGCGGAGGCCCAAACGUCUGAAGUGCUUUUCUAGAGCCAAAAAGAGGGCGGUGAAGAAACCUAGGUUUUCAUAUUAUGACGACGAUGACUAUAAGGCCGAGGAGGAAGAAGAAGAAGAAGAAGAAGAAGAAGAAGAAGAAGAAGAAGAGGAAAUUCCAUCUCUUAGGAGGAAGAGAAAGAACAUAAAUUCACGUGCAGUUAGAUCUCGCUACCAGAAGACCAAAAGAUCAGAUUAUGAUGAAGUGGAGAUGGAGGGAGAAGAAGAGUAUGGAAAAAAGGAAAUUUUAUCUCUCAGGAACAGGGGAAGGAACGGAAAUGCAUCUCGAGUUAGAUCUUACCACCGAAGGAGUAAAGGUUCAGAGUAUAAGGAAGAGGAGAUAGAGGAAGAAGAAGAAACUGAUGAAAAAGAAGUUUUAUCGCUUAGAAAGAGAGGGAGGAACAGAAAUGCACCAGCAGCUCAACCUCACAACCAACAGGCCAAAGGUUCAGAUUAUGAGGAAGAGGAGAUGGAGGAGGAAGAUGAAAAGGAUGAGGAUUUCUCACCUGAUGAGCAGGAUCUUGUUGAUGAGGAAGUCUCAAUGCCUUCUGGAUUGAAAAAGCAAGGACAAAUGAAGAAGGGUGGUAUGAUGCAGGAGCAAUGGAUUUCAAGGCAAAAGAAAAGGGGAAACAGAUGCCAGAAGAGAUCUGAGCACGAUGAUGGUUUUAUUGUGAAAGAUCGUGUUGCUGCCAGUAGAAAGACCAAGACAACCAAGAAAGCAAGGAGGAAGAUGAGCUCAACAUCAAAGGACACCAAGAAGAAAUUGUUGGAGGAGUCAGAUACGCCUGAUUUUGAUUUUGUAAGUUCUGAUGAUGAUUUUGUAGAGGAGGCCAUUAUGUUGGAUGAACCAAGGAACAAAAGCAGGAGUAUCCAGAAGACUAAAAGUUCUGUGAUAAGAAGGCAAAAAGUGUCACUUGAGGAAUCAGAAUCUUGUUCAGAUGGUGAUUAUAACAUUUCUGAGCAUGUGUUGAGGGAUCUGGGGAGUAGUGGGAUUGUGAAUCUGCUACAGACAGAUAGGAUAGUUGCUCGAAUAAAAAGCGUUGAGAAAGGUAAGGAGAAAGAAAAUGAGGAAUCAGGGAAGCCAUUGUGUGGUAUUUGCUUGACAGAGGAACAUAGAACAACAGUUAGAGGAGUGUUGAAUUCUUGCACUCAUUUUUUUUGUUUUCCAUGUAUAAUGGAGUGGUCAAAGGUAGAGUCACGAUGUCCUGUUUGCAAGAGGAGGUUUGGAACCAUUACCAAGUCCUCUAGAUCAGAUCCAGGGUUCGGGUUAAGGAAAGCAGUUAUCAAAGUUGAAAAGCGUGAUCAGGUUUAUCAACCUUCUGAGGAAGAAAUAAGGCGAAUGCUGGAUCCAUACGAAAAUGUGGUAUGCAUAGAAUGCCAUCAAGGUGGAGAUGAUACUCUCAUGUUGCUGUGUGAUAUCUGUGAUUCGCCUGCUCACACAUAUUGUGUUGGUCUUGGGAGGGAAGUGCCAGAAGGCAAUUGGUACUGUGAGUGUUGUAAAUCUGCAGUUGAUGAUUCAUCAUACUUGCAAAAUCAAGAUUUUGGGGAUGAUCAAGCAGCUGGCAAUAUUGACAUGUUAGGCAGUCUCAUUGAAACAGAGGUUUCAACCCCUUGUGGUAAUACAAAUUUUCAUAGAUCAAGUCAACCUUAUUUCCAUGAAAUUGAUCUGAAUGUUUCGCCAAGAUCAGUGGAAAAUAGCAGUUAUAUAUCUCAGCCCCAUGGUGUUGGACCAUCAACUGUUUUGGGUCGACGUGCACUACAGCAACGUAUAUGCAUCAUGUUGUCCAAUGAUAGAUUGAGGCAAAGUUUUCAGGAGACUCGAGCAUCACAGGGCAAUGUAGGAACUGAUUUUAUGAUAUCAGAAAUUGGACGAAGGAUGGAAAACUCACACAGCUCGCAAAGGUUGAGUUCUUGGAACAGAGUGUCAGUUUCUGAACAGUGCUAUCAGAACGAUAAGCCUUCUUUAUAAUCUGAAGCUAGUUUAGCUCAGUGCACUACAGAAGGCUUAAGUUUAAUAUUUGAAUGAUGCCAUGCGGGAGUAUACUCCCUUACAAAGUGUCAUUUAAAAGAAUUAUUCAGGGAUUCUGCACUUGGUUUUCCAGUAAUAACUAGCUCAAACCAAUCUGGCAGAUCACCUUUUAGGGAAUUCGUUCUGAUUUUCUGCGUGGUUUGUGAAGAUCAAGAGACUGAAGAGGAUUUGAAUGUAAUGUGUGGUGGAAGCAUCAUAGAGAAGAGUUUCUUCUCCUGUUCAUUCUCCCACCCGUUAAGAUAAUUUGGAUCAAGAACAAAGGUUUCCAUCUGAAGGUUGUUACAUAGUAAAUUUUUGCUGCAAUUGCUGUUUGUCACUGCCUGGAUCAUCUCCUGCCACUGUUCGAAUCAUACGAUUUCUGCUUGUGCCAUCGACAAAAUCAGCCCGGUUUCACAGUUUUAUUCUGAUAGAAUGAAGAUUGCCUGCAAGGUUGAAACAGGUUUGUGACUGCUUUUAUCCUGCCCAGUCCAAUUGAUAAAAUAUUUUGUUUAUUUGGAAUGAUGCUGCGCAUUUGAUAUCCAGCGUCGACAAAGAUCCAAUGUUCAAUUUUUCCCCCCUCUUUCAAUUAACUCGGGAGGAUCGUUGACAUUCAUUGCUUUUGCGGAUGACAAAUAUGAUUUCCUUGGGUGUACAUGAUGGUGGCAUCACGUCUAGUUGUUCCUGGACUUCGAUUCAAGAUUGCAUUCUGAAAGAUUUUGUGAAAAUUUUGAAAUUUCGACC